GUUGGGCACGGUGGCGCAUGACUGUAAUCCCAGUGGCUUGGGAGGCUGAGGCAGGAGGAUUGUGAAUUCAAAGCCAGCCUCAGCAACUUAGCAAGACCCUGUCUCUA
rnacentral:sRNA from 1 species